CACACCGCCCGUCACACCAUGGAAGUGGGUUGCACCGGAAGUCAUUAGCUUAACCGUAAGGAGGGCGAUGACCACGGUGUGAUUCAUGACUGGGGUG
rnacentral:rRNA from 1 species